ACGGGAGGCAGCAGUGGGGAAUAUUGCACAAUGGGCGCAAGCCUGAUGCAGCGACGCCGCGUGAGCGAAGAAGUAUUUCGGUAUGUAAAGCUCUAUCAGCAGGGAAGAUAAUGACGGUACCUGACCAAGAAGCACCGGCUAAAUACGUGCCAGCAGCCGCGGUAAUACGUAUGGUGCAAGCGUUAUCCGGAUUUACUGGGUGUAAAGGGAGCGUAGGCGGUUUUACAAGUCUGAUGUGAAAGCCCGGGGCUCAACUCCGGUAUUGCAUUGGAAACUGUAGAACUAGAGUGUCGGAGGGGUAAGUGGAAUUCCUAGUGUAGCGGUGAAAUGCGUAGAUAUUAGGAGGAACACCAGUGGCGAAGGCGGCUUACUGGACGAUUACUGACGCUGAGGCUCGAAAGCGUGGGGAGCAAACAGGAUUAGAUACCCUGGUA
rnacentral:rRNA from 1 species